UACGUAGUGGGCUAGCGUUGUCCGGAUUUAUUGGGCGUAAAGAGCGUGUAGGCGGCCAGAUAGGUCCGUUGUGAAAACUGGAGGCUUAACCUCCAGCUGUCGAUGGAAACCAUCUGGCUAGAGUCCGGAAGAGGAGAGUGGAAUUCCUGGUGUAGCGGUGAAAUGCGCAGAUAUCAGGAAGAACACCCGUGGCGAAGGCGGCUCUCUGGGACGGUACUGACGCUGAGACGCGAAAGCGUGGGGAGCGAACAGG
rnacentral:rRNA from 1 species